CCCCAGAGGGCACGCUGGCACGACGGUCACCCGCCUGCUCCUGGCGGUGGCCAAGGCAUUUAUUUGUGGGCGUCCCGAGAGACGGAGCCGUUUGUGGUACGUGUUUCCCCAGAGUCCGGUUCCCACUGGGGAGUCAGGGUCCCCCUUUCCUUCCCAACACCCGCCCCCGGGGCCGUUCCGCAGCAGCCCCCGCGGGCCAGGCCCCGCACCCCAGCCGGUGGCUUUGGGGACUCCGCGUGGGGCUGACGUGCCCAACUAGUCAUGCUCUGUAUCUGGGCCUCCACGGAUGUAUUUCCAAUCGUAAAAUGUGUCGUUCAAAAAACAUAUGUGUCAGUGGAGUCCUCGCUGAGCCUGAACCACAUGGGACAUAGUUGUUCUAAUAAACACGAAUGGGCCAGUGUUCACAUUAGAGAGGGAACAGUUUCUCGUGGAAAGGCGGUGCUUUUAACAGAGGCUAAUUAAUAAACAGCGGGUAAUUGUUCGUGGCACAUUGUGGCGGAGAGUAAUUUUCGUUUCAGAGGGUAGAAGGGCCAAACCCCCCUCCCCCCUCAGCCCUUCUGUGUAAUAACCACCUUGGCUUCACCUCUGCCUUGAAUUUUUACAGCUGGAGCUGUUUACCAUCUUCCAACUCUCACGAAGAAAGGAAAAACUAUCACUUAGAGCCAUCGAAAACUCAGCAUCGUACGUGGAUUUCUUCACGUAAAUAAAUCACACGAAGCGAGACUCGUGUUCUCCGAGUGACAUCAUCCGCUGAAGGCCGCCUCCCCCGUCAGAUCAGCGUUGGGUGCUUUCCUCCUCGUGCGGGCGCCCUUUCCGCAAGACCUGGGUCAGCCCGGCACGACCGGGUCCAGAGGGCGAAAACAGUUCCAACUUCACAGACUGCUCGGAAGCUUUGCUUUGGAACCAUAGGUUCUGAGGUUGAAAGGCCGUGAACGCGUCCAGAAGAAACGUGUGCAGCGCCCAGCGGGAGGUGAAGGCCCUUUGGGUCCUUCCGGAGCCGACGGUGACGCUGGCUGCGGCGUCAUCCCCUUGAAAUGAACGAGGAACCGGAAAAUCACCGGGAAGGCGUCCAGGAGAUGUGGCGCAUUUGGCCACGAGAAGGGACAAAGUCCUGACACGUGCCACAACGCGUGUGACCUCGGAAACAUUAUUCUCGGUGAAAGAAACUAGUCACGAGGCCACGUGUCGUCUGGGUCCAUUUACAAGAUGUCUAGGACAGGAAAGUCCGCAGAGACAGAAGGUGGAGGGGUGGCUGACAGGGGCUGGGGGAGGAGUGGGGGGGGGGUGACUGUUGACGGACGUGGGUCUCCUUCUGCUGGGUGAGGACCGUGUUCUGGAACCAGCUGGCUGUACUCAAUGCUAUCACACCGUUCCCUGUAAGACGGUAAAUGUUACGCUGUGUGGACUGGAUCUCAAUACAUCCGUUAUU
rnacentral:lncRNA from 1 species